CUAUUAGUCCAUCAGCAUUCUACGAGACCACAGCCUCAAGGCUGUGUGGAAAACACAGCCAUAUAUCCCAGAAUAUCAAGGCAGAAAAUCCCACCAUAUCUGCUUUGAACUGGGUUAUCUGAGUCCACACUGCCAUAUAUUCCAGUUCAAAGCAGAUAUGGCGGGAUUUUCUGUCUUAUAUUCUGGAUUAUAUGUCUGUGUGGAAGGGCCCUUAGGGAUAGUGUGCUGGUACGGCAAUAAUAUUAUUAUUUUCUUCACAAAGAGUUUUGAAAGUGACUUUUAAAGUACUGAAUGUAAUGAUAUUUUUAUAGCUAGGUACUAUACUAGCCGGCUAUGGUGCUUUCAUCUGUAGAUGGCUACAUUUUAAAAGUAGAAAAAACCAUGUCUAUGCUGAUUACAUGGGAUGUCUUAUAAACUACUCAAAAUAUACUUUAUACCUCAUACAUAUGAAUUUUCUGGAUCUUGGCGUUUGUGUAUUGUGAAUUCAAUCUACACUCUGUAGACAUGGAUCAUUUUAUCCCAUAAAAUACAGUUGAAUGACAACGGGCUGAGAAGUCAUUCAAAGCAAAAUUUUAAAACUUUAUCUGAGUGAGGGCUAAAUGUGGCCCAUUUAUGUCAACCCUCUAAUUCUUUCUUUCCUUAUCAAUCUUUGACACUGCUCUAAUACAAAUAUAAUUUUACUGGUGUAGCUCAUCCAUCAAAAUAUUUGACACAAUUGAAUAUAAAGUAUACAGUCUUAUGCCAAAAGGGUUUUUGUUUGUAUUGUUUCUAUUUUCUUUUCUGUCCACAGAAUGCCACACCAUAAUUCUGAAAGACUUACUUUCAGUUUUUCAAAGGGAGUGCAGGUUACCCAAGUGAGUUUCCUGGUCAAGACCUGGUCUCCGGAAUCACACCACUAUACCACACUCUCUCCGUACUUCCAACAUUUCACAGAUGAAAACUGGGAUAUGUGUGGCCAUUGGCCAAGCAACAUCAGAGUGUGGUGAAGGUGGGAAAAUUAUUCAAUUAGGAGACACUGCAACAAUUUUCUUUUGAAUGUACAAAUUGAAAAUCACAAGAGAAAACUCGGGGCCCUUCUACACUGCCAUUUUAGCCAGUUCAAAGCAGAUAAUCUCAAUUUUAUAUAGCAGUGUAGAAGGGGCCACAGAUGCCUCAGGCCCCUUCUAUACUGUCAUAUAAUCCAGAUUAUCGAAGUAGAUAAUCCACAUUAUCUGAUUUGAACUGGAUUAUCUGAGUCUACACUGCCAUAUAAUCCAGUUCAAAGCAGAUAAUCUGGAUUUUACAUGGCAGUGCAGAAAGGGCCUCAGGCCCCUUCCACACAGCUGUAUAAAAUCCACAUUGAACUGGAUUAUAUGGCAGUGUGUACUCAGAUAA
rnacentral:lncRNA from 1 species